AGUGGUAGCCGAAGAAGCUCUCUGGGCAGACGCACAGCUGGACGGGCAGCCAAGGCAGGACCUUGGUGGCCUCAUCCUCUGCUGUCUCCCAGGGCCUGCCACUCAGCAGAGGCCGUCCGCAACCCACAACUGUUGCUGGGAUUAAAGGAGAAAAUCAUAUUAUCAUCUGAAAAGGUAUAGAGAAGGCAUGGAAUAAAAGUCAACGUCCAUUUGUGAUUAAAAACGCUGGGAAUACGAGCAGAAGGCAGCCGGUAAUCUGAAGAAGGCUUCAGACACACAAGCGCGCACAUCGUACUCAAUGCUGAACCUGGAACGCUUGCUUUUUGAGACUAGGAACAAGUCAGGGGUUCCACCAACACCACCGCUAUGAGACGAUUCACGGGAGCCCUCAGUCAGUGCAGGA
rnacentral:antisense_RNA from 1 species